rnacentral:rRNA from 1 species
GACGAACCGAGCGAACGUUGUUCGGAAUCACUGGGCAUAAAGGGUGCGUAGGCGGGCCACCAAGUCUGUGGUGAAAUUCUCUGGCUUAACCAGAGUAGUGCCGCGGAUACUGGGGGCCUCGAGGGGGGUAGGGGCAUGCGGAACUCUGGGUGGAGCGGUGAAAUGCGUUGAUAUCCAGAGGAACUCCGGUGGCGAAGGCGGCAUGCUGGACCUUUUCUGACGCUGAGGCACGAAAGCCAGGGGAGCGAACGGG